rnacentral:rRNA from 1 species
UACGUAGGGUGCGAGCGUUGUCCGGAAUUACUGGGCGUAAAGAGCUCGUAGGUGGUUUGUCGCGUUGUCCGUGAAAACUCACAACUCAAUUGUGGGCGUGCGGGCGAUACGGGCAGACUGGAGUACUGCAGGGGAGACUGGAAUUCCUGGUGUAGCGGUGGAAUGCGCAGAUAUCAGGAGGAACACCGGUGGCGAGGGCGGCCUGCUGGGCAGUUGCUGACACUGAGGCGCGACAGCGUGGGGAGCAAACAGG